ACGAACGCUGGCGGCACGCUUAACACAUGCAAGUCGAACGAGAGAAGAGAAGCUUGCUUUUCUGAUCUAGUGGCGGACGGGUGAGUAACACGUGAGCAAUCUGCCUUUCAGAGGGGGAUACCGAUUGGAAACGAUCGUUAAUACCGCAUAAUAUAAUUGAACCGCAUGAUUUGAUUAUCAAAGAUUUAUCGCUGAAAGAUGAGCUCGCGUCUGAUUAGCUAGUUGGUAAGGUAACGGCUUACCAAGGCGACGAUCAGUAGCCGGACUGAGAGGUUGAUCGGCCACAUUGGGACUGAGACACGGCCCAGACUCCUACGGGAGGCAGCAGUGGGGAAUAUUGCACAAUGGAGGAAACUCUGAUGCAGCGAUGCCGCGUGAGGGAAGAAGGUUUUAGGAUUGUAAACCUCUGUCUUCAGGGACGAAAAAAGACGGUACCUGAGGAGGAAGCUCCGGCUAACUACGUGCCAGCAGCCGCGGUAAUACGUAGGGAGCGAGCGUUGUCCGGAAUUACUGGGUGUAAAGGGAGCGUAGGCGGGAUCGCAAGUCAGAUGUGAAAACUAUGGGCUUAACCCAUAAACUGCAUUUGAAACUGUGGUUCUUGAGUGAAGUAGAGGUAAGCGGAAUUCCUAGUGUAGCGGUGAAAUGCGUAGAUAUUAGGAGGAACAUCAGUGGCGAAGGCGGCUUACUGGGCUUUGACUGACGCUGAGGCUCGAAAGCGUGGGGAGCAAACAGGAUUAGAUACCCUGGUAGUCCACGCCGUAAACGAUGAUUACUAGGUGUGGGGGGACUGACCCCUUCCGUGCCGCAGCAAACGCAAUAAGUAAUCCACCUGGGGAGUACGACCGCAAGGUUGAAACCCAAAGGAAUUGACGGGGGCCCGCACAAGCAGUGGAGUAUGUGGAUUAAUUCGAAGCAACGCGAAGAACCUUACCAGGUCUUGACAUCGUAUGCAUAGCUCAGAGAUGAGUGAAAUCUCUUCGGAGACAUAUAGACAGGUGGUGCAUGGUUGUCGUCAGCUCGUGUCGUGAGAUGUUGGGUUAAGUCCCGCAACGAGCGCAACCCUUACUGUUAGUUGCUACGCAAGAGCACUCUAGCAGGACUGCCGUUGACAAAACGGAGGAAGGUGGGGAUGACGUCAAAUCAUCAUGCCCCUUAUGACCUGGGCCUCACACGUACUACAAUGGCUGUUAACAGAGGGAUGCAAAGCCGCGAGGUGGAGCGAACCCCUAAAAGCAGUCUUAGUUCGGAUUGUAGGCUGCAACCCGCCUACAUGAAGUCGGAAUUGCUAGUAAUCGCAGAUCAGCAUGCUGCGGUGAAUACGUUCCCGGGCCUUGUACACACCGCCCGUCACGCCAUGGGAGUCGGUAACACCCGAAGCCUGUAGUCUAACCGCAAGGAGGACGCAGUCGAAGGUGGGAUUGAUGACUGGGGUG
rnacentral:rRNA from 1 species